CAGGCCUAACACAUGCAAGUCGAGCGGCAGCGGGAAAGUAGCUUGCUACUUUUGCCGGCGAGCGGCGGACGGGUGAGUAAUGCCUGGGAAAUUGCCCAGUCGAGGGGGAUAACAGUUGGAAACGACUGCUAAUACCGCAUACGCCCUACGGGGGAAAGCAGGGGACCUUCGGGCCUUGCGCGAUUGGAUAUGCCCAGGUGGGAUUAGCUAGUUGGUGAGGUAAUGGCUCACCAAGGCGACGAUCCCUAGCUGGUCUGAGAGGAUGAUCAGCCACACUGGAACUGAGACACGGUCCAGACUCCUACGGGAGGCAGCAGUGGGGAAUAUUGCACAAUGGGGGAAACCCUGAUGCAGCCAUGCCGCGUGUGUGAAGAAGGCCUUCGGGUUGUAAAGCACUUUCAGCGAGGAGGAAAGGUCNGUAGCUAAUAUCUGCUGNCUGUGACGUUACUCGCAGAAGAAGCACCGGCUAACUCCGUGCCAGCAGNNNNCGGUAAUAAAA
rnacentral:rRNA from 1 species